GCAGACACAUUCCAGCCAAUCAGCAGCAGACCCUCCCUCCCAGACCCUCCCACCUCCUGGACAGCUCACUCAGCUUCACAAUGAAUGUAAAAUGGAUGCUGUCCAGGAGGUGGGAGGGUCUGGGAGGGAGGGUCUGCUGCUGAUUGGCUGGAAUGUGUCUG